AUUGAACGCUGGCGGCAGGCCUAACACACGCAAGUCGAGCGGAUGAGGGGAGCUUGCUCCUCGAUUCAGCGGCGGACGGGUGAGUAAUGCCUAGGAAUCUGCCUAGUAGUGGGGGACAACGUGUCGAAAGGAACGCUAAUACCGCAUACGUCCUACGGGAGAAAGUGGGGGAUCUUCGGACCUCACGCUAUUAGAUGAGCCCAGGUCGGAUUAGCUAGUUGGUAGGGUAACGGCCUACCAAGGCGACGAUCCGUAACUGGUCUGAGAGGAUGAUCAGUCACACUGGAACUGAGACACGGUCCAGACUCCUACGGGAGGCAGCAGUGGGGAAUAUUGGACAAUGGGCGAAAGCCUGAUCCAGCCAUGCCACGUGUGUGAAGAAGGCCCUCGGGUCGUAAAGCACUUUAAGUUGGGAGGAAGGGCUUACAGCGAAUACCUGUGAGUUUUGACGUUACCGACAGAAUAAGCACCGGCUAACUUCGUGCCAGCAGCCGCAGUAA
rnacentral:rRNA from 1 species